rnacentral:rRNA from 1 species
UACGAAGGGGGCUAGCGUUGUUCGGAAUUACUGGGCGUAAAGCGCACGUAGGCGGAUUAGUAAGUCAGGGGUGAAAUCCCGGGGCUCAACCUCGGAACUGCCUUUGAUACUGCUGAUCUCGAGUCCGAUAGAGGUGGGUGGAAUUCCUAGUGUAGAGGUGAAAUUCGUAGAUAUUAGGAAGAACACCGGUGGCGAAGGCGGCCCACUGGAUCGGUACUGACGCUGAGGUGCGAAAGCGUGGGGAGCAAACAGG